AUUUUUUCUUAAUAACAAUUUAUUUCUUUUUUUUUUAAUAUAAAAUAAUAUUAUUAAAUGUUAAAGGCGUGUUUAGUAUUCCAUCAAAAAAAAAAAACUAAUAACAAAUAUAUUUAUUAUAAACUAAAGGAGUCAAAAACAUCUUGUACAAGUAUGUGUUUUAGCUAAAAUUUAACCCUUAAACGGCUUUUUUGUACAUCAUCAUCAACAUGUUUAUAUAAAGGUUCCCCCUGUGUUUUAGCUAAAUAGUCAUUAUUUCUCUAUCUGCUGUUUUAUUAUUAUUAAUUUAUAAUUACUGUACUUUGACGUUAAACUUAAAAAUAAAAAAAAAUUCUUAAAAUUUUUAAUAACACCGAACACCAUCUUUCUUUUCUAGACCUAUUUUCUUUCCACUUUGUUGCUUUUAAAAUCUGUUUUAUUGUAUUAUUUUGAAUUUAAAACUCAUAUUAUUCUAAGCGUUACAUUAAAUUGUUAAACACCAACACGCCCUCACCGCCCAUUUGGUUUCAGAAAUGUUUGUUUUGUUAUAACUGUGUGUUUUUUUCUAUUGACCAUAACUAUACUUUUCAGCCCCUUUUUGUCACAACUAAAUAUUUAUGUUUAAUGCAUUAAACUUUUAGUUUUCAAGGGUGAGGUUUGCCUUUUAUGUAGGCUUUAAAAGAAAUAAAAAUAAAAUAAUAAAAAGAUUGGUCUUUGUAAAAAGUACCACCAAUAAAAAACCUCACCCGCCAAAUAUUUUUAAAAAGAGAUCGAAUAAUUGUUUCAAACUAAAAAAAAGAGAAAAUAAAAUCAAAAUCUUUAAGAGAGAUUUUGAUUAGCAGCAGCAAAUCCAAGGAAGCAGUAUGGAAGCAACUGAAAUUAAAGGAAUGUUAAAUCUUUAAGAGAGACUUUUUGGGUAGCAGCAGCAAAUUCAAUGAAGCAGCUUGGGCGUUACUGGAAUAAAAUGGAAAGUUCGGUGAAUUUAAAGCAGUCAGGUCUGUUAAACUUAACAUCCGAAAAUGGAACCUGGAUUCCCUUAUUACCGACUGAAUUAAGAAGGAUGGUAUUCGAAGUAAAUUGGACUGAUUGGUAAUUGGUAUGAAUACAUUUAAUUGCUUUAUUUUGCAGCAUGGGUGAGGUUUUGACUUUUGUAGGAUUUCCAAAUAAAAAUUGCUUUAAACAAUUGUUUAGUUUUUACAAAAACCUCACCCACCAAAUGUUUUAAAAAAAGAGAUCUAUAGAUACAUAUGUUUUUGCAAUCUCAAAGACGAGAUUGGAACAUGUUUUCAACAAUAUGUUAAAAAAAUGACGGUGAACUUUAACCGAUCACUGCACUCAACAUUGAAAAAAUCAAGAUUAAUAAGAAAUAAUUGUUUUUAUUUUGCAGUAAGCUUUAAGGUAAGGUUUUCAAGAACCUUACCCGCCAAAUUUUUUUUUAAAAGAGAUCGAGUAUUGCUUUUAAACUAAAAAGAAAAUAUAUAAUCAAAAUCAUUAAGAGACCAGCAAAUCCAAGGAAAUAGAAAAAUCGGCGAAGAAAGUUUAUCACUGGUCGAUGAAGAUUUUGUACUCCGGUGAAUGGUAAACAACAUUAUUGAGAAUAAACUUAAUUACUUUAAAGGGUGAGGUUUAACGUUUGUAAGAAUUUAAAAUAAAAAUUAAAAAAAAAUGUUCAGUAUUUAUAAAAACCUCACCCACCAAAUGUUUUAAAAGAGAGAUCGAUAAAUUUGUUUCAAACUAAAAUUUAACGACGAUAUGCGAAGAAAAUGAUAAAUAUCAGAAAAAGUAAAAAUUGAUAGAAAAAAAGGCGCUUUUUUGCAGUUAAUUUCAAUUUAUCACCCGAUAACUGAACUCUCAAGGAAUAAAAAAAUCGAGACUUGAAACUUCAAACUUUUGCUAUAAUCAAUUGGCGAACUUCAUGUAGAAAGAAUAGCCAAAAUCAUUAACUACUUAUCUCUUCACGUGACAUGGAAGAAAACCUCCAUUAAAGCGUAGAAUAGUGAUGUCGAGUAACCAGUUUAAAGGAUUGAAGUUCUUAACUGUGAAAUUAAGAAAGAACCUUUUCCAGCGAAUUAUUUUCCAGCACGAUUUUGAGACAAUUAAAUGCCGACUUUUGGUGAAUAAGAAUUUGGAAAUUAAAGUUUAAAAUCACAUCCAUAAAAAAAAUGUUUAUAAAUAUCUUAGCUAAUAAAUUAUUUGUAUUAUAAUGUAUUGAUAAUGAAAUCGAACAGUUUUGAAAAUCAUGUUCUUAACAGUUAUAAAAAAAAAAUUACUUACACAUUGAUGAGACUGCUUUCAUCAGCCGAUUCUGAUUAGAUUAUUAACAACUUUCCUCCUUUUUUAAUUGAAAUUAUUUCCACAAUUUUUAAAUUAAUUUUUUAUAUAACAUAUAAAAUUUUUAUAUAUUUUUUUCUAUUUAAAAAUAUCGAAUUUUUUUAUAGUAUUUUAACUUUUUCUUUUUUUUCAAUUACACAUGACAUACACAUUAUUUUAUAACACUUUCUGACUAUAUUUCAUUUAUUAUUUACUUACUUUCCUACCAAUAGCUUCAUCUUUAAGUAAAUUAUAACAAUUUAUUCCUAUUUUCUUAAGACUUUUUCUUCCCCUACUAAACUUUCAUAAAUCAAAUCAACCAAACAACAACACACGCACUCUUUAUAAUUUUGAGGAACACACAACGAACGGUCCGAGCAAAAGAAAAUUAACGACCGGCCACGAAAUUUAACUUUAAAUGCCAUUUUUCCUCAUUUCUAUAUAACUUUUUAAGGAAAAUUUUAUUGACAUAUCUUUAAUAACACUUAAUUUAAUAUUUUAUAACAAAAUAUUGAAUUAUAUUUAAUUAUUUUUUUAAAAUAUUUAAUUUAUUCCAACACUUUACCGAAAAAAACAAACAAACCGAGCAAAAUUUCCGUCUGAACUAAAAAACGAAAUAUAUGAACAAGAGAAGCUAAAACAAAUAAAUAAGUAUGUUUUUGUUGUUACUACUACUACUCUUAUUUAGAAAUAGAAAUUUGCAAGAGUACAUGUAAGUUGUUAUUGUAAUGCUCCUACAUUACUACAUUAGUAGUAAUUUCUAAUAAGUGUUGCCAUUUUAUGUUUUUUGUUUUAAGUUCUUCCAUAAGAAAAUAAUAUUAUUGUGGCAACACUACUUUAAUAAAGCAAAACAAUAACAACAACUACACUGCACUCUUAUUCAUUAAUUUUUGUUUUGUUUACAUUUCUUGUAUUUGUGUGUCAGUUUAUGCAAAUUUUUGCAACGUUUCACUUAAUGUGUUAUUAGUUCUAAAGAAAAUUAUAAAUUUAAUAAAGAAAUUCGAAA